rnacentral:sRNA from 1 species
CUAUCGCUCGUGUGUAGCGAAAAUCCUUGUGGGCCGGGGUUCGGCACACAAGAUUGCAGCGGAUAGCUGGAUUAGCU